rnacentral:lncRNA from 1 species
ACUUUGCUCUGUCUUUUUUCUCUCUCUAUUGGGUUCAAUUGGUAUAAAGUUGCGAUUUUGUUGUUUGCUUAUGGGAAUAUGGUGAAAUGGGGUUAGAUCUAAGAUGGGUUUGUUCUGAUUUUAGAUUAGGUUUGGGUGGGGAGGGGGGGUGGUUAAGGGAGAACAAAGUGGGAUGUUAUUGUUCUUAAUUUUGAGUCUUGAUCAUGUCUUAGUGAAGGUAGAAACUUGUAAUUUUGAGUAUUGGACAUUGUCUCCAUAGCAAAAGUUCUACUCCCUUCAUCUUAAUUUAUGUGAGUUGUUUGACUAGGUACAAAGUUUUAGGGAAAAAGAAAAAAGAAUCUAGAAACUUGUGGUAACAUACCAUACACAAUUCCGUGGCUUAAACUGUUACCAAAUAUAAAAUAGUAUCAUUCCUUUUGUGACAAAGAUGUCACCUAAAUUAGGACAAAGGUAGUACUUGGUAAUUAGUAUAUAGGAAGAACUUAAUGUGAUUCGUCCUUUCUUCUUGCCUUUAUAUUAUGUUAUCAUUUUUAUCUCACGAUUAUUCCUAAACAUCUGUUUUCUCUCUGUUUGGUUUUUAUCCCUUUAUUUUUAACUCUAGAACUAGAACUAUUGAACUUUAUUAGUAAUAUUCUUAUAGUGAUGAAUGCUUCUUUCCUUCUUUGGAACAAUAUUUCAUCAUUUUUAACUAUCUGAAUUUUCCUUUAGUUAGUACUUGGGCAUGUGCUGAUGAAUGCUUGUUUCGUUCUUAAUCUUAUGUUUGCGUAUCAUCAGUAAUUCUAUCUUACUCUUGUUGGUGCUGUUUGCCUAAUGUCUAUGAUAACAAUAACAUACCCAGUAUAAUCCUACAUAUGGGGUCUAGGGGUACUCAGACCUUACCCCUACCUUGUGGAGAUAGAGAGGUUGUUUCCAAUAGACUCUUAGCUGUUAGCUCAAUGUCUAUGCCUUAAUGGAUUCGUGAAAUUGCAAUCAUUUAUAUAAUUAUUGAAAGCAACUCUAUGAAGCUUAAUGGUAAUUUUUAAUAGAAAAUAAUAACAAAACAUCAAGAAUAAAAAAAUUGCUAUCCUUUAAAUAUUUAAAGGUCUUUUUUAGUGACUGAGAAAUCCAUCUGGGACCAACCGCAUCCUUCGGGACUCAGGGAUAAUGGGCCAUGGGCUUGCCUCUCUUACACAAGUGACGGUAGAGCAAAUGGCUUGAGGUUUAAGAAAGUAAAAUGUGAGUCUUAAAUUGUCUUUUACUUUCUCAAAAAAUAAAAUUUGAGUCUUGAGCUUGAUUAGUCAAGCCUUUGUUCCUCUUUGGCCACAAUCUGGGAAUUACAAGAUACACAUUUGCCCAUCAUGCGAGAAUAUUAAGGCAAUUUCAUUAAUUGGGUUCUCCAUUUACUUGGAGAGCUAACUUUAAAUUUUGGGGUGAACUUAGUCUUUUUCAUAACAUGGGUUCUCCACUUUAGUUAGAGAAGUAACUUUAAAUUUUUUUGGGUGAACUUAGUCUUUUUCAUAACAUGGGUUCUCCACUUUAGUUAGAGAAGUAACUUUAAAUUUUGGGGCAAUAGUACCUGACUGGUAGUAUGUGAAGCUGUCUUUUGGCCUUGUGAUGCUGCUACUUGACCCGUUGACUUGAUAUCACUUCAAAUGAAGCAGCAAACUUCUGACAGGGGUUCUGGAGUUUUGCAUCAUGACUGACCUUCCAAGGGCUCUCAUCUUCUAGAUUUGUUCCCUCAUCUGCAGCUCGUACUUGUCAUUGAACGCCUUACAGCCACCUCUGUCUUCUGCAUUAUUUUUGUUACAUUGAGACGAAGCAGAGCUAAUGGAUUCCUGUAUCGGGCUUUUAUCUGGACAGGCCAACAAUGCUGCCGUCUUGCUUACUUGUAGCCUAUAUUGCUUGGACUCUCCUAAACUGUUGCCGGGUGCGUGUCGGAUCCUCCAAAAGUAGUGCAAUUUUGGAGAAUCCGACAUGGAUAUGGCAGCAUAUUGGAGAGUCAGCGCAAAGUAGCUUAUAGCUUCUGCUUGCUGAUUUGAAUAUUUUAAAGUCAUAUUUCACCUUAUAUAUUAUAGGGAUGGAUGGAGCAGUGCUUAGUGGUCCUUAACCUUUUCCUUUUGUCUAGUAGAAAGGUAUAGUGAGGAAGCAAUACGAUAUGCUUCACCUUCUACCCCUCUAUUGUCUAUUCUACUUAGGGUCUGUUUGAAAAGCCAGCUGCUAAUUGGAAUUGGUGUAAUUACUAGGAUAGUAAUUACACAACCUAGUAAUUACACUGUAUUGUAAUUACAAUGACCUGUUUGUUUGUCAUAAUGUAAUUACAAGUAUAUUGUUUGGUUGCACAAGUGUAAUUACACAUGUAAAUUAAAUUUUAAAUAUAAAAUUAAUUAUCAAAAAUAAAAAUUUAAG